rnacentral:rRNA from 1 species
GAUGAACGCUGGCGGCGUGCCUAAUACAUGCAAGUCGAGCGAACGGACGAGAAGCUUGCUUCUCUGAUGUUAGCGGCGGACGGGUGAGUAACACGUGGAAAACCUACCUAUAAGACUGGGAUAACUUCGGGAAACCGGAGCUAAUACCGGAUAAUAUUUUGAACCGCAUGGUUCAAAAGUGAAAGACGGUCUUGCUGUCACUUAUAGAUGGAUCCGCGCUGCAUUAGCUAGUUGGUAAGGUAACGGCUUACCAAGGCAACGAUGCAUAGCCGACCUGAGAGGGUGAUCGGCAACACUGGAACUGAGACACGGUCCAGACUCCUACGGGAGGCAGCAGUAGGGAAUCUUCCGCAAUGGGCGAAAGCCUGACGGAGCAACGCCGCGUGAGUGAUGAAGGUCUUCGGAUCGUAAAACUCUGUUAUUAGGGAAGAACAUAUGUGUAAGUAACUGUGCACAUCUUGACGGUACCUAAUCAGAAAGCCACGGCUAACUACGUG